CCUACGGGGUGCAGCAGUGAGGAAUAUUGGUCAAUGGACGAGAGUCUGAACCAGCCAAGUAGCGUGAAGGAUGACUGCCCUAUGGGUUGUAAACUUCUUUUAUAAAGGAAUAAAACGAGGCACGUGUGCCUUUUUGCAUGUACUUUAUGAAUAAGGAUCGGCUAACUCCGUGCCAGCCGCCGCGGUAAUACGGAGGAUCCGAGCGUUAUCCGGAUUUAUUGGGUUUAAAGGGAGCGUAGAUGGGUUGUUAAGUCAGUUGUGAAAGUUUGCGGCUCAACCGUAAAAUUGCCAUUGAUACUGGCAGUCUUGAGUGCAGUUGAGGUAGGCGGAAUUCGUGGUGUAGCGGUGAAAUGCUUAGAUAUCACGAAGAACCCCGAUUGCGAAGGCAGCUUACUAAACUGUGACUGACAUUGAUGCUCGAAAGUGUGGGUAUCAAACAGGAUUAGAUACCCCUGUAGUC
rnacentral:rRNA from 1 species